GUCGACGGUGAACACGGAGCUUGCUCUGUGGGAUCAGUGGCGAACGGGUGAGUAACACGUGAGCAACCUGCCCCUGACUCUGGGAUAAGCGCUGGAAACGGCGUCUAAUACUGGAUAUGUGACGUGACCGCAUGGUCUGCGUCUGGAAAGAAUUUCGGUUGGGGAUGGGCUCGCGGCCUAUCAGCUUGUUGGUGAGGUAAUGGCUCACCAAGGCGUCGACGGGUAGCCGGCCUGAGAGGGUGACCGGCCACACUGGGACUGAGACACGGCCCAGACUCCUACGGGAGGCAGCAGUGGGGAAUAUUGCACAAUGGGCGCAAGCCUGAUGCAGCAACGCCGCGUGAGGGACGACGGCCUUCGGGUUGUAAACCUCUUUUAGCAGGGAAGAAGCGAAAGUGACGGUACCUGCAGAAAAAGCGCCGGCUAACUACGUGCCAGCAGCCGCGGUAAUACGUAGGGCGCAAGCGUUAUCCGGAAUUAUUGGGCGUAAAGAGCUCGUAGGCGGUUUGUCGCGUCUGCUGUGAAAUCCGGAGGCUCAACCUCCGGCCUGCAGUGGGUACGGGCAGACUAGAGUGCGGUAGGGGAGAUUGGAAUUCCUGGUGUAGCGGUGGAAUGCGCAGAUAUCAGGAGGAACACCGAUGGCGAAGGCAGAUCUCUGGGCCGUAACUGACGCUGAGGAGCGAAAGGGUGGGGAGCAAACAGGCUUAGA
rnacentral:rRNA from 1 species